GAUGAACGCUGGCGGCGUGCUUAACACAUGCAAGUCGAACGGUGAAGCAGGAGCUUGCUUUUGUGGAUCAGUGGCGAACGGGUGAGUAACACGUGAGCAACCUGCCCCUGACUCUGGGAUACGCGCUGGAAAAGCCGUCUAAUACUGGAUAUGUGAUGUGACCGCAUGGUCUGCAUUCGGAAAGAAUUUCGGUUGGGGAUGGGCCCGCGGCCUAUCAGCUUGUUGGCGAGGUAAUGGCUCACCAAGGCGUCGACGGGUAGCAGGCCUGAGAGGGUGACCGGCCACACUGGGACUGAGACACGGCCCAGACUCCUACGGGAGGCAGCAGUGGGGAAUAUUGCACAAUGGGCGGAAGCCUGAUGCAGCAACGCCGCGUGAGGGAUGACGGCCUUCGGGUUGUAAACCUCUUUUAGCAGGGAAGAAGCGAAAGUGACGGUACCUGCGGAAAAAGCACCGGCUAACUACGUGCCAGCAGCCGCAGUAA
rnacentral:rRNA from 1 species